rnacentral:rRNA from 1 species
UACGUAGGGCGCAAGCGUUGUCCGGAUUUAUUGGGCGUAAAGAGCGUGUAGGCGGCCAGGUAGGUCUGCUGUGAAAACUCGAGGCUUAACCUCGAGAUGUCGGCGGAAACCAUCUGGCUAGAGUCCGGAAGAGGAGAGUGGAAUUCCUGGUGUAGCGGUGAAAUGCGCAGAUAUCAGGAAGAACACCCGUGGCGAAGGCGGCUCUCUGGGACGGUACUGACGCUGAGACGCGAAAGCGUGGGGAGCGAACAGG